rnacentral:rRNA from 1 species
GACGAACGCUGGCGGCGUGCUUAACACAUGCAAGUCGAACGAAGUGGCGAACGGGUGAGUAAUACGUGAGUAACCUGCCCUCCUUUUUGGGAUAAGCCUUGGAAACGGGGUCUAAUACCGGAUAAAGGGGGAUGGGCUCGCGGCCUAUCAGCUUGUUGGGGGGGUGAUGGCGUACCAAGGCUGUGACGGGUAGCCGGCCUGAGAGGGUGACCGGCAACUUUGGGACGGAGAUAGCGCCCAGACGCGUACGGGGGGGAGCAGUGGGGGAUAUGGGACAAGGGGCGAAAGCCGGAUGCAGCGACGCAGCGGGGGGGAGUAAGGCUUUCGGGUUGUAAACCUCGUGCGCUAUGGAACGGGUAGGUGGAGAAGAAGCGCCGGCUAACUACGUGCCAGCAGCCGCGGUAAUAC